rnacentral:rRNA from 1 species
UACGGGGGGGGCAAGCGUUGUUCGGAAUUACUGGGCGUAAAGGGCGCGUAGGCGGCUUAUCAAGUCAGGCGUGAAAUUCCCGGGCUCAACCUGGGGGCUGCGCUUGAUACUGAUGAGCUUGAAUGCGGGAGAGGAUAGUGGAAUUCCCAGUGUAGAGGUGAAAUUCGUAGAUAUUGGGAAGAACACCGGUGGCGAAGGCGGCUAUCUGGCCCGUAAUUGACGCUGAGGCGCGAAAGCUAGGGGAGCGAACAGG